rnacentral:rRNA from 1 species
AUUGAACGCUGGCGGCAGGCUUAACACAUGCAAGUCGAGCGGAGAUGAGGUGCUUGCACCUUAUCUUAGCGGCGGACGGGUGAGUAAUGCUUAGGAAUCUGCCUAUUAGUGGGGGACAACAUUCCGAAAGGAAUGCUAAUACCGCAUACGUCCUACGGGAGAAAGCAGGGGAUCUUCGGACCUUGCGCUAAUAGAUGAGCCUAAGUCGGAUUAGCUAGUUGGUAGGGUAAAGGCCUACCAAGGCGACGAUCUGUAGCGGGUCUGAGAGGAUGAUCCGCCACACUGGGACUGAGACACGGCCCAGACUCCUACGGGAGGCAGCAGUGGGGAAUAUUGGACAAUGGGGGAAACCCUGAUCUAGCCAUGCCGCGUGUGUGAAGAAGGCCUUAUGGUUGUAAAGCACUUUAAGCGAGGAGGAGGCUACUGAGACUAAUACUCUUGGAUAGUGGACGUUACUCGCAGAAUAAGCACCGGCUAACUCUGUGCCAGCCGCCGCGGUAA